rnacentral:rRNA from 1 species
CAUUAUACAGCGAAACUGCGAAUGGCUCAUUAAAUCAGUUAUCGUUUAUUUGAUAGUACCUUACUACUUGGAUAACCGUGGUAAUUCUAGAGCUAAUACAUGCUAAAAACCCCGACUCACGGAGGGGUGUAUUUAUUAGAUUAAAAGCCAAUGCCCUUCGGGGCUCACUGGUGAUUCAUAAUAACUUGUCGAAUCGCAUGGCCUUGCGCCGGCGAUGGUUCAUUCAAAUUUCUGCCCUAUCAACUUUCGACGGCUGGGUCUUGGCCAGCCAUGGUGACAACGGGUAACGGAGGGUUAGGGCUCGACCCCGGAGAACGAGCCUGAGAAACGGCUAUUACAUCCAAGGAAGGCAGCAGGCGCGCAAAUUACCCAAUACCGACUCGGUGAGGUAGUGACGAUAAAUACUGAUACAGGGCUCUUUUGGGUCUUGUAAUUGGAAUGAGUACAAUUUAAAUCCCUUAACGAGGAACAAUUGGAGGGCAAGUCUGGUGCCAGCAGCCGCGGUAAUUCCAGCUCCAAUAGCGUAUAUUAAAGUUGUUGCAGUUAAAAAGCUCGUAGUUGAACCUUGGCCCUGGCUGGCCGGUCCGCCUCACCGCGUGCACUGGUCCGGCCGGGGCUUUCCCUCUGGGGAACCGCAUGCCAUUCACUUGGUGUGUCGGGGAACCAGGACUUUUACUUUGAAAAAAUUAGAGUGUUCAAAGCAGGCCUAUGCUCGAAUACAUUAGCAUGGAAUAAUAGAAUAGGACGUGUGGUUCUAUUUUGUUGGUUUCUAGGACCGCCGUAAUGAUUAAUAGGGACAGUCGGGGGCAUCAGUAUUCAAUUGUCAGAGGUGAAAUUCUUGGAUUUAUUGAAGACUAACUACUGCGAAAGCAUUUGCCAAGGAUGUUUUCAUUAAUCAGGAACGAAAGUUAGGGGAUCGAAGACGAUUAAUCUGGUCGUCCACAGCGCUCAAGAGUGCUAGUCCGCCUCCGGGCGGGCGACACCGUCAAAUUGCGGGGACAUCCUAAAGGCUGCUGCUACACCUGCGGGCGGGAAACCGCCGGCAGUCGUAAUAACGCGCGGCAUGACGGGGCUCCGGCCCCCGAAAUGGACAAUCCGCAGCCAAGCCCUAAAGCCGCCCCGGCGGCCAAGGGUGCAGUUCACAGACUAGACGGCGGUGGGGGCCCCCUCCGAGGGGCCCUUAAGAUAUAGUCGAGCCGGCGCCGAGAGGCACCGGGGUUGAAAGCAGAUACCGUCGUAGUCUUAACCAUAAACUAUGCCGACUAGGGAUCGGACGAUGUUAUUUUUUGACUCGUUCGGCACCUUACACGAAAGUACAAGUUUCU